rnacentral:rRNA from 1 species
AUGGUGGUCAGCAAAAUCUACAAGAACAACUGUCCUAGGUGUAGAAUAACAAGGGGUGUGUGCUACGAAAAAUUAAGAGAGGGGGACAAUGAAAAGGAGUUGCCUCGACAGUACAUUGCUAGACGACCUCAAUGCGGUGCUCAGGGUGGCAAACGAAGAGGCGCCCAAUGUCCUUGUGGUGGAGAUAGGGGAGGACUUGGGCGUCCUGACGGUGGAGAACAGGGACGCGCCGGUGUCCUCGUGGUGGAGAAUGAGGAGACGACCUGCAUCCUUGCAGUGGGGAACGGGAAAGCAUAUUAG